GCGGCAAUAGCUCAGUUGGGAGAGCGUUAGACUGAAGCAAAACUUCAGACACCGGUACGGAAUAUCUAAAGGUCCUGCGUUCAAUCCGCAGUUGCCGCA
rfam:Stachybotrys chlorohalonata IBT 40285 unplaced genomic scaffold scaffold1522, whole genome shotgun sequence.